rnacentral:tRNA from 1 species
GCCUGGGUGGCUCAGUUGGUUAAGCAUCUGACUUGGGCUCAGGACAUGAUCUCAGGGUCCUGGGUUCGAGUCCCGCAUCGGGCU